GCCCAGCGCCGCCCGCCAGCCCAGCCGGUCAGUUAGCCGCGAGGCUAACAAAGCAUGUGCCUGGGCAUUUGGGGGGCGGCGUUUUUUGCCGCCCCCUGAAAAAUGCCGCCCAAGGCAAAUGCCUUGUUUGCCUCGCGGCUAAAACGCCCCUGCUCUUCCCUCUUUCUACUGCUAAUACCUCCCCCUAUACAACCAAGCAUUCUGCUAGCAUUUCCUGCUGCUCUAUUACCUUUAAGUCAUCAGAAAUAAUCACCCUUAAAUCCCUUACUGUUGCUACCCUCCCCCAAACUCCAGGGAAUUCCUUGGAUUUCUUACUCCACUCAUGUUAACUAGGUAUACCUAGUUUCACGUCACCUUAUGUUGUACCUACUUUACUAGCUUAAAGAGGAUAACUAUAGUUUUAUCCUCAGAUAGCUACUUCUUGAAACUCUGGUACGAAUUGCUGUCAUUAUUUUACAGGUGAGUUUUUCACAGCCAAAUAGCCCCAACUACGGCCCAACUACGACCUAACCUUUCACAUUUCCUUUUUUCAGGUUCAUCUUUUUUUUUCAAGUGUUCAUCCUUGUUGGUAAGGAAUCUUAUCUAUACUGUAAGCUAGGUACAUCUCCAUUAUUACAUACUAAUCAUACUCCCAUCCCGUUAUAGGCUAGGGUUAAUCAACAGUCAACUGGUUAGUGAAUGUUACGGUCCCCAAGAGGCCAACGUUCCUGCCACAUCAUUCAGUGGUCCCCCACCCACUUGGCUUUUUUCACAGAUAGAGCCUCUCUUGCAUUUUGCCAUUAGUAGGGCCUCAUCUUCCAUGUAGUUCAGGUAAUUUCUUCACCUCAGGCUUAGCUAGAGCCAGUUGAUACAGGUCAAACUUACAAGAAAAGAUUAAAGGAUCUUAACAUGUAUAACUUGGAGGAAAGAUGACACGGGGGGAUAUGAUAGAAA